rnacentral:rRNA from 1 species
GCACAAUGGGCGAAAGCCUGAUGCAGCAACGCCGCGUGCGCGAAGAAGGUCUUCGGAUCGUAAAGCGCUUUUUGGGGAGAUGAGGAAGGACAGUAUCCCCAGAAUAAGGCUCGGCUAACUACGUGCCAGCAGCCGCGGUAAAACGUAGGAGCCAAGCGUUAUCCGAAUUCACUGGGCGUAAAGCGCGUGCAGGCGGUCUGGUAAGUUGGAUGUGAAAUCUCCUGGCUCAACUGGGAGAGGCCGUUCAAUACUGUCAGACUAGAGGGCGACAGAGGGAGGUGGAAUUCCGGGUGUAGUGGUGAAAUGCGUAGAUAUCCGGAGGAACACCAGAGGCGAAGGCGACCCCCUGGGUCGUACCUGACGCUCAGAUGCGAAAGCUAGGGGAGCGAACGGGAUUAGAAACCCCGGUAGUCCUAGCCGUAAACGAUGUAGACUGGGUGUUGGCGGGGUAAAAGCCGUCAGUGCCGAAGCAAACGCGAUAAGUCUACCGCCUGGGGACUACGGCCGCAAGGUUA